ACUCAAAGGAAUUGACGGGGACCCGCACAAGCGGUGGAGCAUGUGGUUUAAUUCGAGGCAACGCGAAGAACCUUACCAGGCCUUGACAUGGGUAGUUUGGAGAGCAGAAACGUUCUCCUUCAUUCAGUUGGCUACCACACAGGUGUUGCAUGGCUGUCGUCAGCUCGUGUCGUGAGAUGUUGGGUUAAGUCCCGCAACGAGCGCAACCCUCAUCCUUAAUUGCCAUCAGGUUAUGCUGGGCACUUUAAGGAAACUGCCGGUGACAAGCCGGAGGAAGGCGGGGACGACGUCAAGUCAUCAUGGCCCUUACGGCCUGGGCUACACACGUGCUACAAUGGCGGUGACAGCGCGCAGCUAACUCGCAAGAGCAAGCUAAUCGCAAAAAACCGUCUCAGUUCGGAUUGUCCUCUGCAACUCGAGGGCAUGAAGCUGGAAUCGCUAGUAAUCGCGGAUCAGCACGCCGCGGUGAAUACGUUCCCGGGUCUUGUACACACCGCCCGU
rnacentral:rRNA from 1 species